rnacentral:rRNA from 1 species
UGAAUACGAGACGCUAAGGCGUCGAAGUAGUGUAUGUCAUACUUCCAAGAAAAGCUUGCACUGUCAUAGAUAAAAAACGCCUGUACCAUAACCGACACAGGUGGGUAGGUAGAGUAUACUAAGGGGCGCGAGAUAACUCUCUCUAAGGAACUCGGCAAAAUAACUCCGUAACUUCGGGAGAAGGAGUGCCUUAUUCGUAAGGUUGCAAUAACAAGAUCCAAGCAACUGUUUAUCAAAAACACAGGUCUCCGCUAAGUCGUAAGACGAUGUAUGGGGGCUGACGCCUGCCCAGUGCCAGAAGGUUAAAGAAGUUGGUUAGCAAUUGCGAAGCUGAUAACUGAAGCCCUGGUGAACGGCGGCCGUAACAAUAACGGUCCUAAGGUAGCGAAAUUCCUUGUCGGGUAAGUUCCGACCCGCACGAAAGGCGUAAUGAUUUGGAUACUGUCUCGGAGAGGGGCUCGGUGAAAUAGACUUGUCUGUGAAGAUGCGGACUACCUGCACCAGGACAGAAAGACCCUAUGAAGCUUUACUGUAACUUGAAAUUGAAAUUGGACUUUAUUCGCGCAGCAUAGGUGGGAGGCGUUGAUUAUAAUCUUGCGGGAUUAUUGGAGCCAUCAGUGAGAUACCACUCUUGUAAUGUUAGAUUUCUAACUUUGAAUCAUUAUCUGGUCAAAGAACAGUUUCAGGCGGGCAGUUUGACUGGGGCGGUCGCCUCCUAAACGGUAACGGAGGCGUACAAAGGUUUCCUCUGAACGGUUAGAAAUCGUAUCUAGAGUGUAAAGGCAUAAGGAAGCUUGACUGUGAGACCUACAAGUCGAGCAGGGACGAAAGUCGGUCUUAGUGAUCUGACGGUACUGAGUGGAAAGGCCGUCACUCAACGGAUAAAAGUUACUCUAGGAUAACAGGCUGAUCUCCCCCAAGAGUUCACAUCGACGGGGAGGUUUGCACCUCGAUGUCGGCUCAUCGCAUCCUGGGGCGGUAGUACGUCCCAAGGGUUGGGCUGUUCGCCCAUGAAAGCGGUACGCGAGCUGGGUUCAGAACGUCGUGAGACAGUUCGGUCCAUAUCCGGUGUAGGCGUUAGAAUAUUGAGAGGAGCCUUCUUUAGUACGAGAGGACCGAGAAGGACAUACCUCUGGUGUACCAGUUAUCGUGCCAACGGUAAACGCUGGGUAGCUAUGUAUGGAGUGGAUAACCGCUGAAAGCAUCUAAGUGGGAAGCCCACCUCAAGAUAAGUAUUCUCA